UCCGGUUUGUCACCGGUAGUCCCAUUAGAGUGCCCAACUGAAUGUAGCAACUAAUGGCAAGGGUUGCGCUCGUUGCGGGACUUAACCCAACAUCUCACGACACGAGCUGACGACAGCCAUGCAGCACCUGUGUCCACGCCCCUUGCGGGGAGGAUUCCAUCUCUGGAAGCCGUCGUGGCAUGUCAAGGGCUGGUAAGGUUCUUCGCGUUGCGUCGAAUUGAACCACAUGCUCCACCGCUUGUGCGGGUCCCCGUCAAUUCCUUUGAGUUUUAAUCUUGCGACCGUACUCCCCAGGCGGUCGACUUCACGCGUUAGCUGCGCCACUAGUGAGUAAACCCACUAACGGCUGGCAUUCAUCGUUUACGGCGUGGACUAC
rnacentral:misc_RNA from 1 species